AUGCUCGAUUCAGGAGCACAUAUACUAAAGUUGGAACAAUACAGAGAAGAUUAGCAUGGCCCCUGAGCAAGGAUGACACACAGAUUCAGUGUUCCAUACUUAA
ensembl:snRNA U6 U6 spliceosomal RNA